UUCUGAUAUUGUUUGUAUUUGUAGUUCAAGAUGUCAGACACAGACAGACAACUUCCCACACGAAAUAAAUUUGAUUAAUUGCUCGCGACUUUGAAAUUGAUACUUUUUUAAAUAAAAUUUGAUGCAUCCAAAACCUGUUCUGAUAAGAUUUGACAUAAACCUCGAAAAUCGAAAUAAACAACACAGUAUACGCGAUCGACUGUCAGCAUUUCAUUCAGAUUCAGACUGUAGCUCACACAACAAUAUCAAAUUUCUCCCUAAAUAUUCGUUUCUUUCUAUGCUAGCCACAAUAAUAAUUUAGGCUUACAUUGCCUCUGCAGGCAGUUGUAGUAGUUUGAUAUUCCAAUCCUUUGUUUCCAAAAAAUAGUCGAUUUUGUGAUCAAAAUGUACAUUUUGUAAUACAAAUCCCUAUUGCACUGACUGGCUUUACUGGCUGCGAGCUUGAGAGAUCCAGUGAGCUCCAUAUAUAUCUGGAGUAGGAACUUGGUUGCUCAAAGUGAAGCCAGUUUCGUGUUAACCGUGCAUACAAAAACAAUAGAAAGGGA